GCUGAUAUGGCUCAGUUGGUAGAGCGCACCCUUGGUAAGGGUGAGGUCCCCAGUUCGACUCUGGGUAUCAGCACCC
rnacentral:tRNA from 1 species